AUACGGAGGGGACUAGCGUUGUUCGGAAUUACUGGGCGUAAAGCGCGCGUAGGCGGAUCAGAAAGUAAGAGGUGAAAUCCCAGGGCUCAACCCUGGAACUGCCUUUUAAACUCCUGAUCUUGAGUUCGAGAGAGGUGAGUGGAAUUCCAAGUGUAGAGGUGAAAUUCGUAGAUAUUUGGAGGAACACCAGUGGCGAAGGCGGCUCACUGGCUCGAUACUGACGCUGAGGUGCGAAAGCGUGGGGAGCAAACAGGAUUAGAAACCCCAGUAGUCC
rnacentral:rRNA from 1 species